rnacentral:rRNA from 1 species
GAGUAAUGUCUGGGAAACUGCCUGAUGGAGGGGGAUAACUACUGGAAACGGUGGCUAAUACCGCAUAACGUCGCAAGACCAAAGAGGGGGACCUUCGGGCCUCUUGCCAUCAGAUGUGCCCAGAUGGGAUUAGCUUGUUGGUGAGGUAACGGCUCACCAAGGCGACGAUCCCUAGCUGGUCUGAGAGGAUGACCAGCCACACUGGAACUGAGACACGGUCCAGACUCCUACGGGAGGCAGCAGUGGGGAAUAUUGCACAAUGGGCGCAAGCCUGAUGCAGCCAUGCCGCGUGUAUGAAGAAGGCCUUCGGGUUGUAAAGUACUUUCAGCGGGGAGGAAGGUGUUGUGGUUAAUAACCGCAGCAAUUGACGUUACCCGCAGAAGAAGCACCGGCUAACUCCGUGCCAGCAGCCGCGGUAAUACGGAGGGUGCAAGCGUUAAUCGGAAUUACUGGGCGUAAAGCGCACGCAGGCGGUCUGUCAAGUCGGAUGUGAAAUCCCCGGGCUCAACCUGGGAACUGCAUUCGAAACUGGCAGGCUUGAGUCUUGUAGAGGGGGGUAGAAUUCCAGGUGUAGCGGUGAAAUGCGUAGAGAUCUGGAGGAAUACCGGUGGCGAAGGCGGCCCCCUGGACAAAGACUGACGCUCAGGUGCGAAAGCGUGGGGAGCAAACAGGAUUAGAUACCCUGGUAGUCCACGCCGUAAACGAUGUCUACUUGGAGGUUGUGCCCUUGAGGCGUGGCUUCCGGAGCUAACGCGUUAAGUAGACCGCCUGGGGAGUACGGCCGCAAGGUUAAAACUCAAAUGAAUUGACGGGGGCCCGCACAAGCGGUGGAGCAUGUGGUUUAAUUCGAUGCAACGCGAAGAACCUUACCUGGUCUUGACAUCCACGGAAGUUUUCAGAGAUGAGAGUGUGCCUUCGGGAACCGUGAGACAGGUGCUGCAUGGCUGUCGUCAGCUCGUGUUGUGAAAUGUUGGGUUAAGUCCCGCAACGAGCGCAACCCUUAUCCUUUGUUGCCAGCGGUCCGGCCGGGAACUCAAAGGAGACUGCCAGUGAUAAACUGGAGGAAGGUGGGGAUGACGUCAAGUCAUCAUGGCCCUUACGACCAGGGCUACACACGUGCUACAAUGGCGCAUACAAAGAGAAGCGACCUCGCGAGAGCAAGCGGACCUCAUAAAGUGCGUCGUAGUCCGGAUUGGAGUCUGCAACUCGACUCCAUGAAGUCGGAAUCGCUAGUAAUCGUGGAUCAGAAUGCCACGGUGAAUACGUUCCCGGGCCUUGUACACACCGCCCGUCACACCAUGGGAGUGGGUUGCAAAAGAAGUAGGUAGCUUAACCUUCGGGAGGGCGCUUACCACUUUGUGAUUCAUGACUGGGGUGAAGUCGUAACAAGGUAACCGUAGGGGAACCUGC